UUGAAACAUCAUGUCAUUGUGAAUAUACGUAAACAAAAUAUAAAAAAUUUAAUGGUUUUAGGAAAAAUUAAAAAUACGUCAUUUACAAUGAAUGUAUGCUUCUCUAAACAAAUUAAAUGUCUGUGAAUGUGUGUACCUAUACUUUAAUAAUAAUUUAAUCUAUAUCUAUGAGACAAUGUUAAGCUGAGUAAAAUUAAAAAAUAAAAACAAAUCGCGAAAUAUCCGUUUCAUUGUCACAGUUCCAUUUAUUUAUUUAUUUAUUUACAAGAUUUAUCUCCAGUCCACAUUUUAACCAUAAAACGCCAACUCAAUCAGGAGCUAAACUAAUUAAGAUACAGUUAAGCAGUAGCUGGCAAAAAACCUGGGGACUAAGACCACAAGCGGCGCACACAGCACGAUACGAGCGGCCAUGUUGAUUAUUGUCAUGAUGAUUUUAUGUCUUCAUCGAUGGUUUUACAACCUCAUUAGUUGGCAAUAUAUGUGGUAAGCAAGACCUGAUGGUGGACCAGGAUAGGUUCUCAAUGAAGGAACUCCACAAGUGCUUUCUGUACGGACAUGAUUUAUUUGCCACGCGUUGAAUCAAAUAAACAAGUUUCUGACGUCGAUUAGAGUUAGUAUCAAAAAUGAGAUUUUUAUAAAAAAUAUACGAAACUUUGAAAAUACUCAAAAAAAUUCUGAAACAGUAAUAGGUAAGUACUUAUACCUACUCUAUAUCGGCGAAAAAAUAUACUAUGACCUCAACGAUAUCAAUUACACUGCACCAGAAUCAGCAAUAGAUAACUAUAAAUAAGAAAUGGUAUAAGAGCAAAGCAUUCUUCCGCACAGCCAUAAACGCCUGUGUCCGAAUCUGAAAAAAAAAAUGUGUCGCCAAUCCCUAUCUUUGGAGGCAUCAACACUUCCAAAUUCAAAAGACGCCGCCAUCUUAGCGUCACAAUUUAUUAGCUCGAAGAUUUACACACCAUUUAACGGAAAAAAGAUUGAGCAGUGAACUGAUAAAAAAGACAAUAGAUUACCAUGAUUUUCGGUUUGGAUUCCAUGUUUCCGGAUUCAUUUACAUUUUUAUUUUUUUAUCUACUAAUUACUUAGAUUAUAAAUUGUAACUAACAUUAAUUUCAGUAUAGUAAAUUCCAAUGUCAUUUAUUUUUAAUUGAAAAAAAAAACAAAAAUAAAAAGCCAGUCCAGCCAGUCAUAAUAAUAUGAUGUUUGUUACCAGAAAUAAGACUUUUUUUGCCAAAUUAUAGAUUUAAAUAAAAUCACUAGUUAGAUACUAUGUUUUGUUAGAUACAUUAUGUAAAUUAUUGAAAUAGUCAAGACAAUAUGCCAAUAAAUCAAAUUAACUUAUUUUA